rnacentral:rRNA from 1 species
AUUGAACGCUGGCGGCAGGCCUAACACAUGCACGUCGAACGAGUGGCGGACGGGUUAGUAAUGUCUGGGAACCUGCCUGAUGGAGGGGGAUAACUACUGGGAACGGUAACUAAUACCGCAUACCAUCAGAUUUUCCCAGAUGGGAUUAGCUAGUAGGUGGGGUAACGGCUUACCUAGGCGACGCUACCUCGCUGGUCUGAGAGGAUGAUCAGCUACACUGGAACUGAGACACGGUCCAGACGCCGACGUGAGGCAGCAGUGGGGAAUAUUGCACAAGGGGCUCAAGCCUGAUGCAGCCAUGCCGCGUGUAUGAAGAAGGCCUUCGGGUUGUAAAGGACUUUCAGCGGGGAGGCGUUACCCGCAGAAGAAGCACCGGCUAACUCCGUGCCAGCAGCCGCGGUAAUUC